CGGACGGGUGAGUAAUGUCUGGGAAACUGCCUGAUGGAGGGGGAUAACUACUGGAAACGGUAGCUAAUACCGCAUAACAUCGCAAGACCAAAGAGGGGGACCUUCGGGCCUCUUGCCAUCGGAUGUGCCCAGAUGGGAUUAGCUAGUAGGUGGGGUAACGGCUCACCUAGGCGACGAUCCCUAGCUGGUCUGAGAGGAUGACCAGCCACACUGGAACUGAGACACGGUCCAG
rnacentral:rRNA from 1 species